CGCCGCCGCCCCCGCGGGGCCCCGGCCGGUGUCUCCUUGCGCAAGGGAACCGAGACCCGAAAGGAGAACCGGGGAAGCCCUGAGCCUUCCCGUCCUGCUGCCGGCUCACGUGUCUUAGAUCGGGUGCCCUCUUAACAUUAAACAGGAGAGAUUAUCUUACACCUCGGGUCGUUCUAGGACGGCGGGUUGCAUUCUAACUUGAGGGAGUAUACCGGACGCUUACGAUCGGGCUACCGAAGGCAGCGAGCUUUGUCUGUCAUCCCGGAUCUCUUUGCCAUGGCUGAGGGGCGAGGUUUAGGGACCUGGGUCGAUUCCUAAUUCCUUAACAAGUGCCCUUCUGUUCCAGGUGCUUGACAAAGACCCAUCGUUGAGUGGGGCUCCAGUGCAGUCUGUUCGUGCCCGUAUUUUAUAAGCGACGUCUUCAAACUAUGUGAAGAUCCGUUUUAAGAUUUAUUCCUCUAUGAUGGAGAAGUAUGAAAAAAUUGGGAAAAUUGGCGAAGGAUCCUAUGGAGUUGUUUUCAAAUGCAGAAACAGGGACACGGGUCAGAUUGUAGCCAUCAAGAGAUUUCUGGAAUCAGAAGAUGACCCUGUCAUUAAGAAAAUCGCCCUUCGAGAAAUCCGCAUGCUCAAGCAACUCAAGCAUCCCAACCUUGUGAACCUUAUUGAAGUCUUCAGAAGGAAGCGGAAACUUCACCUGGUGUUUGAGUACUGUGACCACACGGUUCUCCAUGAGUUGGACAGACACCAAAGAGGGGUACCAGAACAUCUUGUGAAGAGCAUAACUUGGCAGACUCUGCAAGCUGUAAAUUUUUGCCAUAAACACGAUUGCAUACAUAGAGAUGUGAAGCCAGAAAAUAUCCUCAUCACAAAACAUUCAGUGAUUAAGCUCUGUGACUUUGGAUUUGCUCGGCUUUUGACUGGACCGGGCGACUACUACACAGACUACGUGGCCACCAGGUGGUACCGCUCCCCAGAACUCUUGGUGGGGGACACACAGUAUGGCCCCCCAGUAGAUGUUUGGGCAAUUGGCUGUGUCUUUGCUGAGCUGCUGUCAGGGGUGCCUCUGUGGCCAGGAAAAUCAGAUGUGGAUCAGCUCUAUCUGAUUAGGAAGACCUUGGGACAUCUCAUUCCUAGGCACCAACAAGUAUUUAGCAUGAAUCAGUACUUCAGUGGGGUGAAAAUCCCAGACCCUGAAGAUAUGGAACCACUUGAAUUAAAAUUUCCAAACAUCUCUGAUCCUGCUCUGGGGCUCUUAAAGGGCUGUCUCCACAUGGAUCCUGCUGAGAGACUGACGUGUGAGCAGCUGCUGCAGCACCCGUAUUUUGACAGCAUCAGAGAAGUGGGGGCUCCGGCCGAAGAGCUUGACCGACCAGUGAGGAAGACCCUGAGGACGAGCCGCACGCACCUGCCCGGGGUAAGCGCAGGGCGCUCUCUUCCGGAAGCAGCCAGGCUUGCAGCUUCAAAUGGUCUCGCGCCUGCCACCUGGUACAGACAGCCCGCGUCUCGACCUGAGGUGGCAGGUGCGGCUUGCAGCUCCAGCACCCUCCGUCCAGCACCGGGAGGAAGGUCGAAGGAGCUCUCAGCCAGGGCUCCAGACGCGUCUGCCUCAGAGGGCCCCUUCUCCUGAAUCCUGCAGGGGUCCUUGCCCUGUGGGUCCUUCCCUGCUGCCGCAGGGCAGCUGGGGGGGGGGUUGUUGUGCAAGAGCACAGGGCGUAGACCCGUACACGAGUGUGAGUGUCUCGGAGCCUGCUUUUUGUGCUCUGGAGAAUGAAAUCCAGAGUAUCCCAGGCAGCUGUCUGUCAUCAUGUGUACUUUCCGUAUUGACUGACAGCCCAGGUGGAUCCAAAAAUGGAACCGUUUUCCCUCGAAUCCUUCGAUCGUCAGAGUUGGCUAGGGUAGAUAGGGUGAUCGUGCUCUCGGCGGUAUCAGCGGACCAGCUUCCGUUGUCAGAGACUAGCACCCCAGCUGCACACUGGGAGCCUGUGCAGAACACGACUGGAUGACGCAGGCCGAGUAGCUUUACAGUAAGCGUCUUGGUAGAAGCCGAAAGCCCUAGUAAUCAGAAUGGACUGCAGUUGGAACCACAACUGAGAUGAGCUGGCUACUCCUGGCCCCUUCUGGAUCUGCUUAGGGAGCCCUUAAUCUAGAAAUUAUUAUGCCCUAGUCUUUCCCUUUGCAGCCCCCCCUGCCCAGGGUGCUGAAUGGCAUCUGGGGGGUGCGUGUGAGGUUUGGAGGAGAGAAGAGGAUGGACAAUCCAUGAGGAACAGUUACAGGGCCCACCUCAGCCGGCUAGCGGCAGCUUCCUUCCAGCUUUGGAUAAUAAGAAGUACUACUGGAAUGUCAGGAAACCGAACUACCAAUUUGCAAACAUUUAAGGAGCGUGGAGAUGGAUGAUGAAAAAGGCGUUAAUCAAUCAUUUGGAGAAAACGAAACGCAUACAUUUGCUUAAAAACAAUCACCAUGUUGAAAGAUCAUCAGGAGAAAACCUAAGGAACAAAGGGGGGGGCCACCUGGCAGGACAGGAAGGGAAAUUCCGGACGCAGCCUUCCAGGCUUCACGAUGGUGACUGGAACGGAAAGGAAACACUAGUUUGGAUUUUCACUUGCAUUUUUGUUGUAUCUAAGUAGCUGAGCUAAUGGACAGAAAUAUAAACUCUACUUACUGCCCCUAUCUCGGGCAAAAUGAGCAACGUAAGAAGGGUUUAUGCUUCCAUUGUACCCCGUGACCCAAGUGAAGAAUGGAUUACAGAACACCCGUAUGUAUUUCUUGUGGCCCUUUUGCCUCGAGUCCUAUCCCCUGCCUUUCAGACUGUCUCAACAUCAUAUUUAAGAAGAGUUUUAGUUCCUGAAAUCAAAAUGCUUACUAUUCUAUUUCCUCCUUGCUCUAUCUCUAGAUUUUUAUAUUUUAAAACAUUUUUAGAAUAUUUAAGAGUCAUUCAAAAUACUUAAAAUCAUGGAUUAUUGUAACAGAAUUAUUUGCUUACAUAUUUCAUGAUGUUAAUAGACAUUUCUUACAUAUACUUUUGUCUUUACCUUUAGUAAAGGCUGCACCUUAGUCAUUUUUGCAGGCAAGUUGGGUUUACAUAACCCACCUCCAGGUGACCCAAUUUCCCUUACAAACAAUGGUGUGAAGGCUGACAGCUGACCAAGGCUCGAUCAAGGCAUAGAACAAGACCUGCAGGCUGCACGGGAACUGAGCCUAUUGGCCUGAAAGUGGUAAGUUCUUCAUUGUGUCCAGCUCUGCCUCAGACUUGGAGACAGAUCCACAGGCAGGACUCUCUAUAAUGAUCUGGGUUUUGGAAGAAAUUUCUUGUGAGUUUUUACUCGGACCAUGAAAGACAUUAGGUUGUAAACGGGUAUUGUCCCUGAAAUACCUUUUGAUACUGUAUGUGUGUGUACUGUACAUAUAUAUGGAUGUGUAUAUAAAACAUACCCACAUAUAUGUGUAUAUACACACACAUAUAAAUACCUACACGUGUGUGCACGUGUGUACAUACACUAUGCUAAGAACUGGUAACGACUAAUUAGAAAAUAGUCCAAAAUGAUACUGAGGAUUCCUAGCUUUGUAUCACGAUACCUAAAAUGAUGACGUAUAAUUAGCUUCGACUUGGCCUGCCGCUCCGAUUCCAAAAGCGUUGGAAUCGUCCCCUGCCACAGGGGCAGGAUGAAGCUCACGUCUGUGUCUUGUAGCUCACUGCCAGUUUCGGCUGAUGGGCUGCUGCUCUUUCCUUAGUGGUUCCCAGCCAUGGUUUUUGAAAUUCUAUUUUACUGUCUCUUCAAAACAUUUCUACUUGCUCCAAUUAGUUUACUGCUCUAGUUAACUUCCUUCGUGACAGCAUUUGACUUUAUUCACUUACUGCUAAGUAACUCACCAAAUUCAGGCAUCUGUUCAAUAAUUUUGGCUACUCCAGGGGCACCUGGGUAGCGCAGUCGUUAGGCGUCUGCCUUCGGCUCAGGGCGUGAUCCCGGCGUUAUGGGAUCGAGCCCCACAUCAGGCUCCUCCACUAUGAGCCUGCUUCUUCCUCUCCCACUCCCCCUGCUUGUGUUCCCUCUCUCGCUGGCUGUCUCUAUCUCUGUCAAGUGAAUAAAUAAAAUCUUUAAAAACAUAUUUUUGGCUACUCCAGCUGGUUUAAUGAUAUCCUAAGGCCCCUGAUGUAUGUAGCUUCUUGCAAAGAGCUGACAGGGGGUUAAAUACUAGUCCUAGCGUUAUCCAAUUCUUCUUCUGUGGCUUUGAUUCAAAUGACAAGGAAGGACAUCCCACUUCUGUUUACGUUUUCUGUUUCCCUUUUUAACCCAAAACAAUGCACUUGACGAGGCAGAUCACUAGUUUGUUCGGCGGUUUUAUAGAAAACCAUCCAGAAGACAGAAGUAGUUCUGGGCUAGAUCCUGGUGAAUUGGUUGCCUCGCCACACAGUAAUCAAACAAAUCUGAGACGGAAGCGUUCGUUUUUUCUAAUAAGUUCUAGGAACUGUGUACCAGUGCUUAAUUUAACCACCGCUGUAGCCCUUCGUUCAGGACGGGGUCCCCACUGUCUCGCACGAAGCUGUUCUCCAUCCUAGUCUUUUUUUUAAUUGACUGUGUUGAUUUUAUAAAUGAUAGUGGCAAUUUUAUUUGUAAAUAGUGUAUCAUUCAUGGCAAGUGCUAGUUACAUAAGCUGCUUCCUAAACACAACUAAAAUUCAUUUUUCUACCCGAAUGCUGCAUCAUACAGUGUUUGUUUUAAAAUUAUUUCUGGGGGCACCUGGGUGGCACAGCGGUUAAGCGUCUGCCUUC